rnacentral:tRNA from 1 species
GGGCCUGUCGUUCAACAGGAGGAUGUUCCCCUCGCACGGGAACGAUACGGGUGCGAUUCCCGUCAGGUCCA